UGGCUCAGGACGAACGCUGGCGGCGUGCCUAAUACAUGCAAGUCGAACGCACUGACGUCGACCGAAGCUGCUUGCAGUGGACGUUGAUUGACGUGAGUGGCGGACGGGUGAGUAACACGUGGGUAACCUACCCUUAAGUGGGGGAUAACAUUUGGAAACAGAUGCUAAUACCGCAUAACCAUUCAGACCACAUGGUCUGAAUGUAAAAGACGGCCUUUGGCUGUCACUUUUGGACGGACCCGCGGCGUAUUAGUUAGUUGGUAAGGUAACGGCUUACCAAGACAAUGAUACGUAGCCGACCUGAGAGGGUAAUCGGCCACAUUGGGACUGAGACACGGCCCAAACUCCUACGGGAGGCAGCAGUAGGGAAUCUUCCACAAUGGACGAAAGUCUGAUGGAGCAACGCCGCGUGAGUGAAGAAGGUUUUAGGAUCGUAAAACUCUGUUGUUGGAGAAGAACAGGGACUAGAGUAACUGUUAGUCCUUUGACGGUAUCCAACCAGAAAGCCACGGCUAACUACGUGCCAGCAGCCGCGGUAAUACGUAGGUGGCAAGCGUUGUCCGGAUUUAUUGGGCGUAAAGCGAGCGCAGGCGGUUUUUUAAGUCUGAUGUGAAAGCCUUCGGCUUAACCGAAGAAGUGCAUUAGAAACUGGGAAACUUGAGUGCAGAAGAGGACAGUGGAACUCCAUGUGUAGCGGUGAAAUGCGUAGAUAUAUGGAAGAACACCAGUGGCGAAGGCGGCUGUCUGGUCUGUAACUGACGCUGAGGCUCGAAA
rnacentral:rRNA from 1 species